rnacentral:rRNA from 1 species
AAUCAACGCUGGCGGCGUGCCUAACACAUGCAAGUCGAACGCGAAAGUCCCGCAAGGGAUUAGUAGAGUGGCAAACGGGUGAGUAACACGUGGGUGACCUGCCUUCGAGUGGGGGAUAACGUCCCGAAAGGGACGCUAAUACCGCAUGACAUCCUGCUUUUGAAGAGGUGGAGAUCAAAGCCGGGGCUCCGCAAGGACCUGGCGCUUGAAGAGGGGCCCGCGCCUGAUUAGCUAGUUGGUGGGGUAACGGCUCACCAAGGCAUCGAUCAGUAUCCGGCCUGAGAGGGCGGACGGACACACUGGGACUGAGACACGGCCCAGACUCCUACGGGAGGCAGCAGUGGGGAAUUGUUCGCAAUGGGCGCAAGCCUGACGACGCAACGCCGCGUGGAGGAUGAAGACCUUCGGGUCGUAAACUCCUUUCGAUCGAGACGAACGGCCUCCGGGUGAACAAUCCGGAAGAGUGACGGUACCGAGAGAAGAAGCCCCGGCUAACUCCGUGCCAGCAGCCGCGGUAAUACGGGGGGGGCAAGCGUUGUUCGGAAUUACUGGGCGUAAAGGGCUCGUAGGUGGCCAACUAAGUCAGACGUGAAAUCCCUCGGCUUAACCGGGGAACUGCGUCUGAUACUGGAUGGCUUGAGAUUGGGAGAGGGAUGCGGAAUUCCAGGUGUAGCGGUGAAAUGCGUAGAUAUCUGGAGGAACACCGGUGGCGAAGGCGGCGUCCUGGACCAACACUGACACUGAGGAGCGAAAGCCAGGGGAGCAAACGGGAUUAGAUACCCCGGUAGUCCUGGCCCUAAACGAUGAAUGCUUGGUGUGGCGGGUAUCGAUCCCUGCCGUGCCGAAGCUAACGCAUUAAGCAUUCCGCCUGGGGAGUACGGUCGCAAGGCUG